CCUACGGGUGGCAGCAGUGGGGAAUAUUGGGCAAUGGGCGCAAGCCUGACCCAGCAACGCCGCAUGAAGGAAGAAUGCUUUCGGGUUGUAAACUUCUUUUCUGAGGGACGAAGAAAGUGACGGUACCUCAGGAAUAAGCCACGGAUAACUACGUGACAGCAGCCGCGGUAAUACGUAGGUGGCAAGGGUUAUCCGGAUUUAGUGGGUGUAAAGGGCGUGUAGGCGGGAAAGCAAGUCAGAUGUGAAAACUCAGGGCUCAACCCUGAGCCUGGAUUUGAAACUGUUAUUCUUGAGUGCUGGAGAGGCAAGUGGAAUUCCGUGUGUAGCGGUGAAAUGCGUAGAUAUACGGAGGAACACCAGUGGCGAAGGCGGAUUGCUGGACAGUAACUGACGCUGAGGCGCGAAAGCGUGGGGAGCAAACAGGAUUAGAUACCCCUGUAGUC
rnacentral:rRNA from 1 species